rnacentral:rRNA from 1 species
GACGAACGCUGGCGGCGUGCUUAACACAUGCAAGUCGAGCGGUAAGGCCCUUUCGGGGGUACGACGAGCGGCGAACGGGUGAGUAACACGUGGGUGACCUGCCCUUACGCUCUGGGAUAAGCCUGGGAAACGUGGGUCUAAUACCGGAUAUGACCUCAUGACUCAUGUUGUGGGGUGGAAAGCCUUGUGCGGCUAGGGAUGGGCCCGCGGCCUAUCAGCUUGUUGGUGGGGUAAUUGCCACCAAGGCGACGACGGGUAGCCGGCCUGAGAGGGCGACCGGCCACACUGGGACGUGAGACACGGCCCAGACUCCUACGGGAGGGCAGCAGUGGGGAAUCUUGCGCAAUGGGCGAAAGCCUGACGCAGCGACGCCGCGUGAGGGAUGACGGCCU